AGUGAACGCUGGCGGUAGGCCUAACACAUGCAAGUCGAACGGCAGCACAGUAAGAGCUUGCUCUUACGGGUGGCGAGUGGCGGACGGGUGAGGAAUACAUCGGAAUCUACUUUUUCGUGGGGGAUAACGUAGGGAAACUUACGCUAAUACCGCAUACGACCUACGGGUGAAAGCAGGGGAUCUUCGGACCUUGCGCGAUUGAAUGAGCCGAUGUCGGAUUAGCUAGUUGGCGGGGUAAAGGCCCACCAAGGCGACGAUCCGUAGCUGGUCUGAGAGGAUGAUCGGCCACACUGGAACUGAGACACGGUCCAGACUCCUACGGGAGGCAGCAGUGGGGAAUAUUGGACAAUGGGCGGAAGCCUGAUCCAGCCAUACCGCGUGGGUGAAGAAGGUCUUCGGGUUGUAAAGCCCUUUUGUUGGGAAAGAAAAGCAGCAGGUUAAUACCCCGCUGUUCUGACGGUACCCAAAGAAUAAGCACCGGCUAACUUCGUG
rnacentral:rRNA from 1 species